CUAUUAUAAAGACAAUUAUUUUUGAUAUGAUAUUUGUAUAAAGAAAAUUGUGGAACUAUAGCAUCUUAAAAAAAGCAAAGAAAGGAAUAAUGAAUUAUCCAGUCUUGUUUAGUUUAUGUUUGGUUUUUUUUGCUGCACAUGGUAUCCUAGUGAAUGACCAAAAUGAAGAAAAUGGUGUCGCAGCUGAUAACCAAAAUGAAAUAUAAGUCAUUAACAUUUUAUAGUCGGCAGAAACCAAGAAAAAACCAAGAAAAGUCAAUAAUAAGGAAAUAAUAACAGGUAUUA